UGGCUCAAUGGUUAAGAGCACUGACUGCUAUUCCAGAGGACUUGGGUUCAAAUCCCAG
rnacentral:tRNA from 1 species